CCGGGACAACAGCUCCGGGAAGCUCCGCGGCAGGCGUUUGUCCAGGGAGAAGGUGAGUCUGCCCUUUCGGAAGCCACGCUUCAGGGCUGAAGGAGCCACUUCCUGGCUCAGGUUUCUGACUUCCAGCGUAGCCUUGUUGAAGCGGGUAAGAUAAUCCCGCAAGCUUUCUCCCUCGUUUUGCCGGACAUCAAAGAGGGAGUCGGAGACCAGUCGCCGCCGGCUACUGACGGCGAAAUGGGUGAUGAAGAGGCGAGUAAACUGGUCGAAGGACUGGAUUGAGUUAGCCUCCAAGCCGGCGAACCACGCCCUUACCGGGCCAUGGAGGGUCGCCGGGAAGGCCUUGCAGAGGAGAGG
rnacentral:lncRNA from 1 species